UACGGAGGGUGCAAGCGUUAUCCGGAUUUACUGGGUUUAAAGGGUGCGCAGGCGGGCCAGUAAGUCAGUGGUGAAAUCCCGGGGCUCAGCCCCGGAACUGCCUUUGAUACUAUUGGUCUUGAAUAUCGUUGAGGCUGGCGGAAUACAUCAUGUAGCGGUGAAAUGCUUAGAUAUGAAGUAGAACACCGAUUGCGAAGGCAGCUGGCUGAGCGAUGAUUGACGCUCAUGCACGAAAGCGAGGGGAUCAAACAGG
rnacentral:rRNA from 1 species